CUACUUCCAAAAACAUUCAGCUUUGAUAUUAAUGAGUUUUUGGGUUCAUUGAGAACAUGGUUGUUGUUCAAUAAUAAAAUUAUUCCUCAAAAAUACAACUUGCCUAAUAAUUCUGCACUCCCUGUAUAUUCCCUGUUCACACACGACUGUGUUGCUAAACACGAGUCCAACAUCAUCAUCAAGUUUGCGGAUGACACAACCAUCAUAGGCCUCAUCACAGAAAACGACGAGACAGCCUAUAGAGAGGAGGUGAUGGCGCUGUGCAGUGGUGUCUGGAAAAUAACCUGACUCUCAACAUCAGCAAAACCAGAGAAAUGAUAGUGGACUACUGGAAACGACCAGUCAGGGAACACCAGCCCAUCCACAUCAACGGUGUCAAGGUCGAAAGGGUCAGCAGUUUCAAAUUCCUUGGAGUCAACAUCACCGAGGACUUCUCCUGGACCCUUCACACAGACACUGCUAUCAGUAAAGCUCGCCAGCGGCUUUACUUCCUGAGGAGGCUGAGGAAGUUUGGCAUGAACGCCAACAUCACCUCAAAUUUCUACAGGUGUGCAAUCGAGAGCUUGCUGACGAGCUGCAUUACAGUUUGGUACGGAAGCUGCUCUGCCAGCAGCCGUAAAUCACUACAGAGGGUGGUGAAGGCAGCAGAGCACAUCACUGGCACGAGGCUUCCUGCCAUUCAGGACAUUUAUCUCCAGCGACGCCUCCGUAAAGCACACAGCAUCAUCAAGGACCAUCAGCUCUUCUCCUUGUUACCAUCUGCAGACGUUACAGGAGUCUGUCUGCUCGCACUACAAGACUUAAAAACAGUUUUUACCACCAAGCCAUACGACACCUCAACCACAACACUUAAACACACACAGCACAGGACGCACUCAGAAGCUACCCUGCAGCUUCACAAGUACUCUGUUUAAUCUGCACUGGUCACUCCACUUUAUUGUUAUUGAUAUUUAUAUUUAAAAAGUGCAAUACUGUAAUUUUCUGCUGCUCAUUCCUGUGCAAUAUCCCAUCUGCCCUCCCGUCAUAUUUCUUUUCAAGAUUUUCUUAUUUAAUCACUAGUGUACAUAUAUUUAUAUUUAUAGAUACAUAUAUAUUUAGUCAUCUUUUCUCUUUUACCAUGUCUCUGUAAUAUUUUGCUCUUUACUAUUUUUCUAUUUAUUUUUUUAUUAUUUUAUUUUAUUUUAUUUUUAACUGACUUUAACUGAUCAAACACACACAUCCACACAUGUGCAAUAACACUAAGUGCAAUACUCUUUUUUGGCAUCGUUGUAUUAUAAUCUGCAGAGGAAUGCCUUUUUUGAAGAGUGUCAGUCAGGUUUCAGAGCUCAUCACAGCUUUAAUAAUAAUAAUAAUGGAUUGGAUUUAUAUAGCGCUUUUCAAGGCACCCAAAGCACUUUACAAUGUCAUUCAUGCUCACAUUCAUACACUGGUGGAGGCAAGCUACUGUUGUAUGUAGCCACAGCUGCCCUGGGGCAGACUGACAGAAGCGAGGCUGCCAUAUCGCGCCACCGGCCCCUCUGGCCAACACCAGCAGGCGGUAGGGUAAAGUGUCUUGCCCAAGGACACAACGAGAGGCCAAGGACAGAGAGGCCAGGGAUCGAACCGGCGACCUUCCGGUUACAGGUGCCCUUCCCAACCCCCUGAGCCACGGUCACCUUUAGUGAAGGUUACAAAUGAUCUUCUUAUGGCCUCUGACAGUGGACUCAUCUCUGUGCUUGUCCUGCUAGACCUCAGUGCUGCGUUCGAUACUGUUGAUCAUAAUAUCCUAUUAGAGCGAUUAGAACAUGCUGUAGGUAUUACAGGUACUGCACUGCAGUGGUUUGUAUCAUAUCUAUCUAAUAGACUCCAAUUUGUUCAUGUAAAUGGAGAGUCCUCUUCACACACUAAGGUCAAUUAUGGAGUUCCACAGGGUUCGGUGCUAGGACCAAUUCUGUUUACAUUAUACAUGCGUCCCCUAUGGGGGAGCAAAAUAAAAAAAAACUCAGAAAAAUAAAGGUGCCAACUGGAACCAAAAGUGGUUCUUUAGACUGAUGCCAUAGAAGAACCUUUUUUGGUGCGACAAAGAACCUUUUAAACAAUGGUUCUUUGAAGAACCUUUAAAGGUUCCUCAAAGAACCAUCAAGAAAUGGUUCUUUGGUAGGGAUGCACCGAUCCCGAUACUGGUAUCGGGUAUCGGGGCCGAUACUGUAAAAUGUGUGCGUACUCAUACUCGUAAAAGUUAACCGAUACCAUGAACCGAUACUAAUGUAGCCCGGAUGGGAAUUUGGUAGUAGAUACUCAUAAUUCCCAUGGACUUGAACGCCACAUAAGGUGUUCACAGUUCACAGAAGAGAACGGCAUGGAGAGAUGCACGAGGUUAGCUGAACCAAAGUGAGAGACUCGGCUAGUUUUACUGAGGUUAACUUGCACAAAAGAGUGUGUGACUAGAAAGCUAACCGUGUGAGAGCUUCGCAACAGAGUGUGGGUGAAGUGACUUUUUGUUUCAACGGUCGCACCACCGUGGAAAACUGUGCUUCCAGCCAUGACCGCCGAGGCUAAAGGCUAGCUCGGACUGCUUGGCUGCGCCACGGAGGCAGCUGCUAUGGACUGGCUAACGCGCUGUAGCAGAGACAGCAUCGGGUCCGCAGGGAGUGGAUUUAGUGUGGGACUGGUGAAUGGCGACCUACCGAGCAACGGAACUGUAAGUCAGACUUUUGUGCUCUUACUGGGGAGAAGAGGAUUUUUCUCCAUCGUCCGGCGUGAGCAGCAAACAGGCCUGCAACAAGUGUGAAUGUGAGUGUGUGUGGGGCCCAUGUGUGAAUAUUGUAUGUUUAGUGGAUUUAUAUAACGUGUUUUGGAGUGUAUAUUAGUGAGUCACUUACCAAAAGGUGAUAACACAAGUUGGGUUGUUUAAUAUAAUUUGAAAGGGAAUUAUGUCAUUUAUACAGUGUAUUUCAUUUGGUUAAGGAAUUGGAAUAUCAAUAUCAUAAAAAAGGGAUGUGUUGUACAGUAUUUGUCUCUGCCCUUACGUUCAGUAAACGUUUCGUUUGUGUUAAAGAGUUGUGUGGGGUCGUUUCUUUACUACUGGUUAAGUUUAACUUGUGUGUGGUAGAAGUAUCGGUUUUUGUACUCGGUAUCGGCAAGUACUCAGAUCCAAGUAUCGGUAUCGGAUCGGUUUGAAAAAAUUGGUAUCGUUGCAUCCCUAUUCUUUGGGGAACCUUUAAUGGUUUUUCAAAGAACCUUUUUAAAAAUGGUUCUUUAAAGAACCAUUAUAAAUCUUUCAAAAUAAAAUGUAUCAUAAAUUAAAUAUGAGUAGGGUAAAAUAAAUACGAGCACAGCAUAGACAUAUAUUAAUGGUUUAUUGCCAUUUCGUAAUAUACCAAAAGACAAAAAGGCAUUUUAACCCUCAGCACAACAUCACUACUAAUACAUGUCACAUAUUAGUUAUUUAAACAGUAAUAAUUAAACAUUUUUACUAUACUAUAAACAAAUGUAUAUAAAAACUAUAUCUAUAGAUAACACAACAAUUAAUACAUGUAUUGUUUAAUUAAUAAAACAUCAGAAAGUGAUAAAAACACAUUAGAAAUAGCAAUAGCUUCAUAACAGACCAAUAAAUCAACACAUUUUCAUCAGCAGAUGUUUGCAUGACCAGUAAAAAUAUUUCAACAACAAGUUUUCGAUUAAAAUUAUCAAUGAACUUCAGCCUUACCUUAUGCAAGGUAAGUUUCAUGUUGGACUCCUGGUUCUUUGUUAGUCCAGUUUAGGAUAAUGUCUCUGACGUAUGUAUCAUAUCAAAUAUGUCAUAUGAAAACAACCCCACACCUGCAGUUGUUUCAGUUUUUCAUAGGUGUUUCCUGUCAGCUGGUCAACCUCACUCAGGCGGGCAUCCAUAUCAGCCAACCAAACGACAAGCUCCUCCCUUUGUGCUUCAAAUCCCUCCCACUCUGAGACAAGGAGGUGAGAGAGAGAAAACAAGGGUCAAUUAUAAAGAAGAGAGAAAAGUGAAACCCUCCUGAGAAGGUCUGACUCGCAUACCUGCAGUCGACCUGUGAUGGACUCCUGUUUGGCGUUCACGUCAUCCCAGCGGUGGCCGCACUCCCUCGCUAUUGCCAGCAGCCGAGUCUGGGUGUCCUGGAAGAGCAGAGUUAAUGUUCGAUGCCUUCUGAUCAGGCUCUCCAGCUGGAUGAGUCGAGGUCCCACCUCUCACCGCUACCUCUGAACACACAAACACAAAUUGCAUGUGAAGCACGAGGUGCAGAUUUUUUUGCUAUUCUUUUCUAAAUCCAGGCUUGAUAACGUGGAGGUAUUUGGAAAACCUUUUUGACCAGCGGAUGAUUGUUGUCUCGCAGAAAGUCAAAUCAAAUGUAUGCGAUACACAAUUAAUUCACAAGAACACAUUAUAAAGAAAGUCCCAUUCUUACGUGAUUUCAACUGAAUUCUGCAUCAAAACAGGAAAACAGAAUUAAAACGAGAGUUUGCAGCAAAUGUGAACACAAAGCCUCACUUUGUACAAGCCUGCUAUUAAAGUUCUCCUCUAUGCAGACGACUUUCCUGUUUUCAAGGCAUAACUUGGAUCUGCUGAACAAAUCUUAUAGAUACACGCUAAAUGAAACAGUAGUGUGCACGACUCCAGAUUCUGAUCCCUCGUCCUAAUAUGGUCCCAAAAGGCUCACAAAAAACAACAGCAAAAGCAAUAAAGCAAAUGUUGAGG
ensembl:lncRNA